GCUUACGACCACACCGGCCUCAGUACGCCUGAUCUCGUCUCAUCUCGGAAGCUAAGCAGGGUCGGGCCUGGUUAGUACUUGGAUGGAAGACCGCCUGGGAAUACCAGGUGCUGUAAGCU
ensembl:rRNA 5S_rRNA 5S ribosomal RNA